GGAGGAAGGGUUUAUUUUUAGCUCACAGGUUGAGAUGAUACAGUCCACCAUGAUGAAGAAGGACGUGACUCCUGCAGUCACGAAGCAGCGUUGCGGAGAAGCAGAGUCAGGCUACAGAAUCUCACCCUCUGCCCCCACCACAUACCAGCUUUCCCCACCUAAAGGCACCGGGAUUAGAGUGCGCACCACCACAGCCAACAUCAGUCCUGUUUUGUAUGUUUGAAGGAUGACUUGAGACUCUCAAGGCUGCAAGCUUGCAUGCAGAUAACGUAACUACAUUCAUUGAUUUCAUCCACUCCACAAAUCCCCAAGAUGCCAGAGAACAGCUCAACACUAGAGCUAGAGCAUGCCUGCCGAGCCAGGCUUGGCCUGUCAAGCUGAAAACCACAAGAAGGGGAAAUGCAGGACUCCAACAUUCUCGAAAAGCCUGGCUUUCCUGCUGUGCCUACAAGUCAGCCAGAAGUCACCAAGAGAAGAGAGAUCCAGGACCCAGAGCUCAUUUGGGAGCACAGCAGAACAAGGCAAGAGGACCCUUGAGUGGCCUGCUCUUACAAUGCUGAGAAUCUAGCGGGCUUGGACAUUGGGGUUGCCAAGGGACAGCCGUCCUUCACAGGCAUCGUGUUGUCUACUGUGUUCUGAAGUGGGGAGUCAGCAGCAGCCCCGAGUGGAUCAGAAGCUCAAGAGCUCUUCUCCGAUACUUAUCCUUCACCUAUUGGGAUCUUCAGAUCCAUAAGAGUCUUUGUAUAUUUCCUUUUGAGCCAAAUGCCAGCCAGCCGUGUGAACUCUCCAGAAAAGAAAUAGAGGAGGACUCAGGGGGGAGACAUGGAUACUCUGCCCAUGAAUGGUGUUGGCUGCAUAGGUUUAUGUCAGAAGUAGAGUUGCCUGACUUUCUAGCUGUCUACCUAGGGUCAGAACAGGAAGCCCAGGUGCCUUUGAGUGGCAUGGGAAGGUACGGGAGCCAGUAGGGCUGGAUAGACAAUGAUGACAGCACAGCAAAAUGACAACUUCUGAUGGAGGCGGGGAGAGAUGUGGGGAAUGUCCCCCAAAGCCUCAGAACAUUCUACAACUAUUGUUUUGAGUAGUAAUAAUGGAGGGCUUCCUAAGGAGGUACCACAUGCCAGGCACACUCUUUGUGUGUUUUCCCUUCUUUGACUCUUACCAUGAUCCUGUGAGGAGGUAUUUUAGGAGUCUCCUCUAUCCAUGGGGUGUAUGUUCUAUGGCCCCCAAAGAAUGUCUGAAACCACAGAUACUACUGAAGCUAGUUUAUAUUACAUUCGUUCCAUAUACAUACCAAACGAUGAUAAAAUUCAGUAUAUAAAUAAGACACAGGAAGAAUUUAACAAUAUUAACAUAACGAUGAUAAUGUUAUCCAUAAUAAAAGCUGUGUGACUGUGCCCCCCAAUAUAUCUUAUUGAACUUUCACAUUUUAUAAUUUAAGGUGGUGCUUCCCACUUCUCUUUGGAUGAUUCAAAUUGCUCUCAUGGAUAUUACUGUGUGUUGUGGUACAAAAAGGGAACACUUACAUUUGACUGCAGUACUGUACUGUACUAUAAUGUACUGUAUGGACUAUAUUAUACUAUACUAUACACGGGGCUAGGCAAAACAGAGCAGGAUGUAUAAAAGUAGCAUUUUACUCUCCAGAUGUAAUUGUUGUCUC